rnacentral:rRNA from 1 species
CGCGAAUGGCUCAUUAUAACAGCUAUAAUUUACUUGAUCUUGACACAAUCCUACUUGGAUAACUGUGGUAAUUCUAGAGCUAAUACAUGCAUUAAAGCUCUGACCUCACGGGAAGAGUGCAUUUAUUAGAACAAAACCAAGCGGCUUCGGCUGUUUCUGGUUGACUCAUAGUAACUGAGCUGAUCGCAUGGUCUUGCACCGGCGACGUGUCUUUCAAGUAUCUGCCGUAUCAACUUUCGAUGGUAGUGUAUCUGACUACCAUGGUGAUCACGCGUAACGGAGAAUAAGGGUUCGACUCCGGAGAGUUCGCCUGAGAAAUCGCGAACACAUCUAAGGAAGGCAGCAGGCGCGAAAAUUACCCACUCUCAGCACGAAGAGGUAGUGACGAAAAAUAACGAGACCGUUCUCUUUUGAGGCCGGUCAUCGGAAUGGGUACAAUUUAAACCCUUUAACGAGUAUCUAUGAGAGGGCAAGUCUGGUGCCAGCAGCCGCGGUAAUUCCAGCU